rnacentral:rRNA from 1 species
UACGGGGGGAGCAAGCGUUGUUCGGAUUUACUGGGCGUAAAGGGCGCGUAGGCGGCCACCGCAAGUCGACUGUGAAAUCUCCGGGCUUAACCCGGAAAGGUCAGCCGAUACUGCGGGGCUAGAGUGCAGAAGGGGCAACUGGAAUUCCUGGUGUAGCGGUGAAAUGCGCAGAUAUCAGGAGGAACACCAAUGGCGAAGGCAGCUCGCUGGGGACGUGACUGACGCUGAGACGCGAAAGCGUGGGGGAGCAAACAGG